rnacentral:rRNA from 1 species
UACAGAGGGGGCAAGCGUUGUUCGGAAUUACUGGGCGUAAAGGGCGCGUAGGCGGCCUUCUAAGUCGAACGUGAAAUCCCUGGGCUCAACCCAGGAACUGCGUCCGAUACUGGAGGCUUGAAUCCGGGAGAGGGAUGCGAAUUCCAGGUGUAGCGGUGAAAUGCGUAGAUAUCUGGAGGAAUACCGGUGGCGAAGGCGGCAUCCUGGACCGGCAUUGACGCUGAGGAGCGAAAGCCAGGGGAGCAAACGGG